UAUCCCUGAAUAGUACUUCAAAAAAAGAGAACAUAUAUUUAUCUUAAAGAUGUUAUGCUUGGGAUAUAAAAAUGUGCAUAUUUAUUGCAUUGUUACAUUUUAGAUUGAAUAAAUUAAUACAUUACAUUUAAAACCUUUUAACAUUAACCAUUAUAUAAAGUUGGUAAUUUCUAGUCAGAAUUGUUGAGUUUGAACAAGUCUGCUGAUUUUAAUUAGUACAAAGAAGCAAAUUCUUGAUUCAUUGUGAUUAUUUACAAAGUGACCAUAUCAACUGAAAAAGUGCUAUCAUAAUACCUGAAACCAAACUUUGUGGUAGACAAGGCUGCUUAAUAUAAAAUGAUGAAGUAUGAAGUGAUACCACUGCUAUUUCUGUCAUUUUGAUGUGCAACAUUUUUUAUAUAUAGUUUUUGUAUAUUGUUUGUUCUGUUUUAUUAACAUGCAACUAUUUGGAUUUUUUUUUAAAUGUUUUUAUUUUGUUCUGUGUCUGAUUAAGUUGUGUAGUUGAGUAGGUGGCACAUUUUGCACCGCAGCAAUGGAUGCAUGCCACUAUCAUUAAUACUAAUAUGUGUGUUGAGUUUAAGAAAUUGUAAGCAUGUUAUCUGCCUCAAAAUCACCAGAAAAUAUUCAAGUUUGACACGUUGCCAUGGCAACAAUAUUUUAGCUAUCAAUAUCUCCUCAACAGUAUAUAUUACAGUAUUACAACAUGUUUUGACAUUAUUCUGAUGCAGUUAAAAGAAAAUCAAGUAAAAA